rnacentral:sRNA from 1 species
GAACAAAGGUCGAACGGCGCUCCAGCGCUCCUCCCGUCCUCCGUCAAGCCCGUCCAGUUCGAACGCCGCUCCUCCGUCCACUUCAACGGCGCUCAUCCGGCCACACACACAGACGCAGGAAGAUGCGAGUCCGACACGAAUCGAGACCCAAAAUCCAGGUACUGAGUAGCACAAUUGGAGAUUUGUUUUAAUUUGCUCUGUGUGAAAGAAUUACAAUCAUUAGCAGAUGAUCAUAAUCCUGUAAAGCCGUUUGAUUGGAUUAGGAAGACCUUUUGAGUACUUAAGGUUUACGAGUUAAGUUUCCCAACUUCAAAUACUUGAUCAAAAUUAGUCCUUUGGCCACGAAGAGAGAAAAUGGCUUUGGUUGGAGAGGCUUUGCUCUUCGGUUCCAUCCAGGUGCUGUGCGACAAGAUUGCCUCCGGAGAGUUUGUGAACUUCUUCCGGCAAGAAGACUCAACCAUUCACUCGUGGACAAGCUAAAGGUGACGUUGAUGACCCUCCACGCAGUGCUCAACGAUGCAGAAGAGAAGCAGAUUGUCAACCCUGCUGUGGGGAUGUGGCUUGACGAGUCAAAGAUGCUGUGUUCGAUACCAAGGACUUGGUGGAUGAGAUGGAUAUUGAAGCUUUGCGUCGGCAGAUCAGACUAAGCACACCCAGGAAAAUGGGAUAGUGCUGUCGAAAUGAAGAGAAAGAGAAAGAUUAGAGUACUGAAGUAAAAAAUGGA